rnacentral:rRNA from 1 species
CUUUUUGAUUUUAAUUUAAAGUUUAACCUGCCCAUUGAAAAUUUUUAAAAGGCUGCGGUAUUUUGACUGUACAAAGGUAGCAUAAUCAUUAGUUUUUUAAUUGAAAACUUGUAUGAAUGGUUGAAUGAGAAAUUAACUUUUUUAAAAAAAUAAUUGAAUUUUACUUUUUAAUUAAAAGGUUAAAAUAAAUUUAAAAGACGAGAAGACCCUAUAGAGUUUUAUAAUUUUUAUUUAAUAUUUAAAAAGAUUAAUUAAAAUUUUAUAAAAGAAAAUAUUUUGUUGGGGUGAUAAUAAAAUUUAAAUAACUUUUAUUUUUUUUUACAUUAAUAUAUGAAUUUAUGAUCCAUUAUUUAUGAUUAGAAAUUUAAAUUACCUUAGGGAUAACAGCGUAAUUUUUUUUUAAAGUUCAUAUUAAUAAAAAAUUUUGCGACCUCGAUKUUGGAUUAAGAUUUAAUUUUAGGUGCAGCAGUUUAAAUUUUAAGUCUGUUCGACUUUUAAAUUCUU